rnacentral:rRNA from 1 species
UAGGUGGCAAGCGUUAUCCGGAAUUACUGGGUGUAAAGGGUGUGUAGGCGGGAAUGCAAGUCAGACGUGAAAACUUAAGGCUCAACCUUAAGCCUGCGUUUGAAACUGUGUUUCUUGAGAGUGGGAGAGGUAAACGGAAUUCCUGGUGUAGUAGUGAAAUGCGUAGAUAUCAGGAGGAACACCGGUGGCGAAGGCGGUUUACUGGACCACAACUGACGCUGAGACACGAAAGCGUGGGGAGCAAA